UUCUUUCAGGGAUACAGUACAAUGUAUUGUGUCUUGUGUGUACACUAGCUGUACACUUUUCUAAAAUUUGUUGACAUUUAUUACAUGUAUAUGUACAUAAUUUUUCUUUAAAUAUUACCCGAAAAUAUUAUUUAUAUCUUUACAGAGCUUACCUCCGACAUUAAGGAUUUGUCAAAAAGAUGACCAUAAUCAUACCCUUUACAUAAGAGUUAGGCCUAUAUACAUUGUAUUUAUCUCAAAAUGGAGAGUUGAUUUACCAGUUUCAUAACUCUGUCCAAAAAAAAUUAGUUGAUGGAGAAGUCUUCUUAUAUUACCAUGGAUAUUGCAAUAAAAGUGUUUAAGUUUUCUGACUUGAAGUGGAAAGGGCGUUUUAAAUUUGAUAAAGACUAAAUACCAACAAA